rfam:Loxodonta africana unplaced genomic scaffold scaffold_34, whole genome shotgun sequence.
GCACUGGUGGUUCAAUGGUAGAAUUCUUGCCUCCCAUGCUGGAGACCCAGGUUUGAUUCCUGGCUAAUGCA